AUUGAACGCUGGCGGCAGGCUUAACACAUGCAAGUCGAGCGGGGUGAUGGUGCUUGCACUAUCACUUAGCGGCGGACGGGUGAGUAAUGCUUAGGAAUCUGCCUAUUAGUGGGGGACAACAUUUCGAAAGGAAUGCUAAUACCGCAUACGUCCUACGGGAGAAAGCAGGGGAUCUUCGGACCUUGCGCUAAUAGAUGAGCCUAAGUCGGAUUAGCUAGUUGGUGGGGUAAAGGCCUACCAAGGCGACGAUCUGUAGCGGGUCUGAGAGGAUGAUCCGCCACACUGGGACUGAGACACGGCCCAGACUCCUACGGGAGGCAGCAGUGGGGAAUAUUGGACAAUGGGCGGAAGCCUGAUCCAGCCAUGCCGCGUGUGUGAAGAAGGCCUUAUGGUUGUAAAGCACUUUAAGCGAGGAGGAGGCUACUUUAGUUAAUACCUAGAGAUAGUGGACGUUACUCGCAGAAUAAGCACCGGCUAACUCUGUGCCAGCCGCCGCCGUAAUAC
rnacentral:rRNA from 1 species